rnacentral:rRNA from 1 species
GACGAACGCUGGCGGCGUGCUUAACACAUGCAAGUCGAACGAAGUGGCGAACGGGUGAGUAACGCGUAAUCAACCUGCCCUUCAGAGGGGGACAACAGUUGGAAACGACUGCUAAUACCGCAUACGGAAGGAGGGGUGUGCGUUUGAUUAGCUGGUUGGAGGGGUAACGGCCAGCCAAGGCGAUGAUCAGUUGCCGGUCGGAGAGGAGGAACGGGCACAUUGGGACUGAGACACGGCCCAGACUCGUACGGGAGGCAGCAGUGGGGAAUCGGCCGCAAUGGAGGACAGUCUGACGGAGCAACGCCGCGUGAGUGAUGACGGCCUUCGGGUUGUAAAGCUCUGUUAAUCGGGACGCGGUACCGGAAUAGAAAGCCACGGCUAACUACGUGCCAGCAGCCGCGGUAAUUC